rnacentral:lncRNA from 1 species
GGGCCUGGGGAACUGAGACUUUAACCGCGGCACUCGCUUUGGUUGUUCCACUCGCCUUGAGGCCGGUGAAUGAGGGAAUGGCGACGGCGGCGGAGGUGACGGCGGCCAUGUCUGUCUGUGAAGGCAGGUGUGGCGAGUGAGGUUUGUGUGUGGAAUGGGGGAAAUCAGAACGGAGAACCGGUAAGGUUGUUUUUUAUAGAGUGAGAGAAUGGAGAAAGGUGUGGAUUGUUGUUUGUGUGGCUGAGAGAAGAGGAACAAUGGGUGAUGCAGAUAAUGCAGAGUGAAGGGUUUAUCUCAUCAUCUCAUCACCAUUGUUCCCAUUGGUUGAAUCAGAUGUUAUCCUCUGACGUGGCGUAGAUUUUUUUUUUUUUUUUCAUUUCUUUCUCUGUCACAUACAUAUGCAGUAGAAUCUCUGUUCUGUAAUUAACACAAGCAAAAAAAGCUGGUGGUGAAUCUAUGUUAGUAAGACACUCACCACUAGCUCAAGCUUUCAAGAAAAUAAAUCAC